CAGUAGCCGCGGGAAAACGAAGGGGGCUAGCGUUGUUCGGAUUUACUGGGCGUAAAGCGCACGUAGGCGGAUCGAUCAGUCAGGGGUGAAAUCCCAGAGCUCAACUCUGGAACUGCCUUUGAUACUGUCGAUCUGGAGUAUGGAAGAGGUGAGUGGAAUUCCGAGUGUAGAGGUGAAAUUCGUAGAUAUUCGGAGGAACACCAGUGGCGAAGGCGGCUCACUGGUCCAUUACUGACGCUGAGGUGCGAAAGCGUGGGGAGCAAACAGGAUUAGAUACCCGUGUAGUCCCUGUCUCUUAUAC
rnacentral:rRNA from 1 species